CACACAGUUUAACCAAGGGCAGGAGCCCGUUCCCAGCCCCACCACACACCCCGAUGCACACGGCUGUGAUCUUUGCUCCUUUGCCAAGUCCUGGGAGAGUCAGCGUUCAUCCCGUUCCCGCCCCAGGCUCACCUCUCCGUGCCUUCACUCCGACUCCCGGCAUUCCCCACUGCCGUCCCUGUUUGUUUAAAUACCAGCCUGGGAAGGAUGGGCACCGGUCGGGAUCGGCCUCACCACCAUGUUUCUUCUGACUCCAGUCUUGGUAGCCGUUGUCUGCAUUUUGAUGGUGUGGAUCUUUAAAAAUGCUGAUGGAGCCACCAAGAGAAGGGAAGAGGAGCCUCGAGCCAGGGCUGAGGCUCGACCCUGGGUGGAUGAAGACUUGAAAGACAGCACUGAUGUCCUCCAGGUGGAGGAAGAUGCUGAUGAAUGGCAAGAGUCAGAGGAAGAGGUGGAACACGUCCCGUUCUCUCAUACCCGCUAUCCUGAGAAGGAAAUGGUUAGGCGAUCCCAGGAGUUUUAUGAGCUUCUCAAUAAGAGACGGUCGGUUAGAUUCAUAAGUAAUGAGCGAGUCCCAAUGGAAGUCAUCGAUAACGUCAUCAAGGCAGCAGGAACAGCCCCAAGUGGGGCCCACACGGAGCCCUGGACUUUUGUGGUUGUGAAAGACCCGGACGUGAAGCAUAGGAUUCGGGAAAUCAUUGAGGAGGAAGAGGAAAUAAACUACCUGAAAAGGAUGGGACCUCGAUGGGUCACAGACCUGAAGAAACUCAGGACCAACUGGAUUAAAGAGUACUUGGACACGGCCCCUGUUUUGAUUCUCAUCUUCAAACAAGUACAUGGUUUUGCUGCAAAUGGCAAGAAGAAGAUCCACUACUAUAAUGAGAUCAGCGUUUCCAUCGCUUGCGGCAUCCUCUUAGCUGCCCUGCAGGUAUGUCAAUACCCAACUCAGCCCAAGAAAGCGAAGUGAGACUUCGGGACCAAACGUACAAAUUUCAGCUGAGUUUCUAAUUCAGGGGCAGCAGAACAUUAUCCAAAGUUGAAUUCCUAAGUAAGAACGCAGGGCUGGUGACUGUUACCACCACUCCCCUCAACUGUGGCCCCCGACUGAGGGUGCUUCUGAACCGCCCUGCCAAUGAAAAGCUGCUGAUGCUUCUCCCGGUGGGGUACCCCAGCAAAGAGGCCACGGUACCCGACCUCCCCCGGAAACCCCUGGACCAGAUCAUGGUGACCGUGUAGGCAGGAUGUGGGCAGGGAGAUGCUGGAAGGAGGUGCCCCCUCCCCCGGAUCCUGCUCCCCUGGGUAUACAGGCUGCUCUUUCCCUGGGUGUUUGGUCUCCCCAGUGCUCUACUGGGCGGGGGGUGGGGGGAGAACUCAAGAACUUUGCCGCUGAGAAGCCCUGAUUCCCACAGUGGGAAUAGCUGGACGCACAGGAGAGGUGAACCAGCAGGUUCUCUUCCAUUUCUUAUCCACUUUGGAAAUGCAUUAAAAUUUUGCUAAGCACAUGCCCUUAGUUUUUUUCUUUUUUUUUUUUCUUUUUUAGGGCCACACCUGAGGCAUCUGUAAGUUCCCAGGCUAGGGGUUCCGUUGGGGCUGCAGCUGCUGGCCUAAGCCACAGCCACAGCAAAGCGAGAUCUGAGCUAUAUCUGUGACCCACGCUGUAUCUUUCGACAACUCUGGAAUCCUUAACCCACUGAAGAAUUGAAUUUGCAUCCUCCUGGAUACUAGUCAGGUUCUUAACCCGCUGAGCCACAACAUGAACUUCCAAGCCCUGGUUUUUAAGUUUGUGGGGAUUUUUUGGCUCCGCCUGUAGCACAUGGAAGUUCCGGGCCAGGGAUGGAGAGCCGCAGCUAUGACCUAUGCCACAACUGUGGCAAAGCCAGAUCCUUAACCUGCUGUGCCAUAGCAGGAACUCCUUAAGUUUUUAAAUUAUUCCAGAAAAAUCACUGGUGAUUUUUUUCUUUUAUUCUUUAAAAACUCAUAGAGUGGAUGGAACUAGAGAGUCUCAUAGUGAGUGAAGUAAGUCAGAAAAAGAAAGACAAAUACCAUACGAUGUCACUUAUAUCUGGAAUCUAAUAUACGGCACAGAAGAACCUUUCCAUAGAGAAGAAAAUCAUGGACUUGGAGAACAGACUUAUGGUUGCCAAGGGGGACGGGGAGGGAGUGGGGUGGAUGGGGAGCUUGGGGUUAAUGGAUGCAGGCUAUUGCCUUUGGAAUGGAUUAGCAAUGAGAUCCUGCAGUGCAGCACUGGGAACUAUGUCCAGUCACUUAUGAUGGAGCAUGAUCAUGUGAGAAAAAGGAAUGUAUACAUGUAUGUGUAACUGGGUCACCGUGCUGUACAGUAGGGAAAAAAUAAUGUAUUGGGGAAAUAAAAAAAAUAAAUUAAAAAAAAAACCUCAUAGAGGAAAGAGUCAUCAGAAGAUUUAAUGCAGUCCCAAGAAUUCACCUAUGUGAUGAUUGUUGAAUUUAAAUUUAAGGCUGAUCGGAUAGCCUUCUGCUCUCUGCUUCCUGGUGGCUUCUAGGCAAGGAUGUGCUUUUGAGAUACACUCUUUCUGGAGCUUCAUGGUUAUUCUGCCAGUUUUUAAUAAGUAACCUUCAAAAUAGUUCAAACAUCACAAGCACAGAACGGAACAGCGUGUGCUUGUGUAGGUGGAUCGGACUGGCAACCAUCUGCACGUAUAAAGGGUUAGCUGCUCUGUCCAGAGUGUGCUGGAGCUGGCUGGCCCCGGGCUUGUGGAAGCUGCUGGUUAAAUAUUCAGGAAUUUUGCGAGCCAGUUGUUAAAACAUUUCUAGCUUGAAAUUGCCCGUGAUGGGAAUAUUUAAACCACCACCAUCGGCCGACACACAAAUCUGGGCUUGUUUUCUUUUUCUUAAAAGAACUGUUUUGCAUCGCCUGGGGAGCGUAACGGUGUCCUCUCUCUUUUCUACUCUCCCCCACGAAACCCAUUUAUCCUUUUUCUCCAGAUGGCAGUCACACUGUUUGGAACGGAUGAGGUCCCAUGGUAUGGGCUGGAGGAUGCCCCGCUGGCCUUUCAUCCAUCACCCCCUCUCUUCCCUUGGGAGCAGGUGGGGCUGCUCACACAGCCACACACAGAGCGCAGAUAAUGGCUCAUCAAACAACCCUACUCGCUUCUCCAUCCCCUUCCACCAUCCUUUUUCUUCUCUCUCUCUCUUUUUUUUUUUUAAACUCCGGUCCCUCCAGAAAAAUCUCUCCUGCCUCUUUCCCUUUGUUUGUGAGUCACACGGUGCAUGGAUAAGACCGUUGAUAACACCACUGAUAAGAGUCAGAACUGGUGACAGAUGAGUAUCAGAGGAAAGGAAGAGUUUUUUCCCCUUUAAAAUAUAAUUAGCUGUCACAAGAACCUGUGCUGUUGACCUCUGUAGUCCUUUGAAGUACCCAGAAGUCUGUUAGAAUCUCCAAGACCUUCCUUCUAAAUCUGCUUUUUUCCCCUAAGUCCAUGUAUUUUUACUAAAUACAAAUACAAACUUUUUCUUUCAAAAAAAAAAAA